rnacentral:rRNA from 1 species
UGCAAUGAGAGUUGUACUAAGGUAGCGCAGUAGAUCGUCCUUUAAUUGAGGAAUAGUAUGAAUGGUUUGUCAUGGAGAAGCUGUCUUUGGAGCAUAUAAGAAGAAAUUUCCAUUUAAGUGAGAAGGCUUAAAUUUUUGUAAAAGAAGAGAAGACCCUAUCGAGCUUGAUUAGAAGUGGUAAAAGUAGUUUAUUUAUUUUGAAGUUUUAUUGGGGCAAUAAGGGGCUAUAACUAACGCCUCUUUAUGUUAUAAAGAUCCUAUUUGAUAGAAAAAAGCAAAAGCUACCGUAGGGAUAACAGCGCAAUCCUUUUUGAGACCGCAUAAAAGGGGUUUGCGACCUCGAUGUUGGAUUAUAGCUGCCUC